rnacentral:rRNA from 1 species
AACCUCCGCAAUGUGAGAAAUCGCGACGGGGGGAUCCCAAGUGCCAUUCUUAACGGGAUGGCUUUUCAUUAGUGUAAAGAGCUUUUGGAAUAAGAGCUGGGCAAGACCGGUGCCAGCCGCCGCGGUAACACCGGCAGCUCUAGUGGUAGCAAUUUUUAUUGGGCCUAAAGCGUCCGUAGCCGGUUUAAUAAGUCUCUGGUGAAAUCCUGUAGCUUAACUGUGGGAAUUGCUGGAGAUACUAUUAGACUUGAGACCGGGAGAGGUUAGAGGUACUCCCAGGGUAGAGGUGAAAUUCUGUAAUCCUGGGAGGACCGCCUGUUGCGAAGGCGUCUAACUGGAACGGUUCUGACGGUGAGGGACGAAAGUUAGGGGCGCGAACCGGAUUAGAUACCCGGGUAGUCCUAACUGUAAACGAUGCGGACUUGGUGUUGGGGUGGCUUUGAGCUGCUCCAGUGCCGAAGGGAAGCUGUAAGUCCGCCGCCUGGGAAGUACGGUCGCAAGACUGAAACUUAAAGGAAUU